rnacentral:rRNA from 1 species
AACGAACGCUGGCGGCAUGCCUAACACAUGCAAGUCGAACGGGAUCCGGACUUCGGUCCGGUGAGAGUGGCGGACGGGUGAGUAACACGUGGGAACCUGCCUUUUGGUUCGGGAUAACCGCGGGAAACUGCGGCUAAUACCGGAUGCUCCCGAGAGGGAAAAGAUUUAUCGCCAGAAGAGGGGCCCGCGUCCGAUUAGGUAGUUGGUGGGGUAAUGGCCUACCAAGCCGACGAUCGGUAGCUGGUCUGAGAGGAUGAUCAGCCACACUGGGACUGAGAUACGGCCCAGACUCCUACGGGAGGCAGCAGUGGGGAAUAUUGGACAAUGGGGGCAACCCUGAUCCAGCAAUGCCGCGUGAGUGAUGAAGGCCUUAGGGUUGUAAAGCUCUUUUGCCAGGGAAGAUGAUGACUGUACCUGGAGAAUAAGCCCCGGCUAACUUCGUGCCAGCAGCCGCGGUAAU